rnacentral:tRNA from 1 species
GCUGUUGUGGCUCAGUGGUUGAGCGUUGACCUAUGAAGCAAAAGGUCACUGGUUCAAUUCCUGGUCAGGGCA